CCUACGUGAGGCAGCAGUGAGGAAUAUUGGUCAAUGGGCGCGAGCCUGAACCAGCCAAGUAGCGUGAAGGAUGACUGCCCUACGGGUUGUAAACUUCUUUUAUAAAGUAAUAAAGUGAGGCACGUUUGCCUUUUUGUAUGUACUUUAUGACUAAGGAUCGGCUAACUCCGUGCCAGCAGCCGCGGUAAUACGGAGGAUCCGAGCGUUAUCCGGAUUUAUUGGGUUUAAAGGGAGCGUAGAUGGGUUGUUAAGUCAGUUGUGAAAGUUUGCGGCUCAACCGUAAAAUUGCAAUUGAUACUGGCAGUCUUGAGUACAGUUGAGGUAGGCGGAAUUCGUGGUGUAGCGGUGAAAUGCUUAGAUAUCACGAAGAACUCCGAUUGCGAAGGCAGCUUACUAAACUGCCACUGACAUUGAUGCUCGAAAGUGUGGGUAUCAAACAGGAUUAGAUACCCGUGUAGUC
rnacentral:rRNA from 1 species